rnacentral:rRNA from 1 species
GACGAACGCUGGCGGCGUGCUUAACACAUGCAAGUCGAACGAUGAAGCCUAGCUUGCUAGGUGGAUUAGUGGCGAACGGGUGAGUAAUACGUGAGUAACCUACCUUUAACUCUGGGAUAAGCCUGGGAAACUGGGUCUAAUACCGGAUACGACCAAUCUCCGCAUGGGGUGUUGGUGGAAAGCGUUAUGUAGUGGUUAUAGAUGGGCUCACGGCCUAUCAGCUUGUUGGUGAGGUAACGGCUCACCAAGGCGACGACGGGUAGCCGGCCUGAGAGGGUGACCGGCCACACUGGGACUGAGACACGGCCCAGACUCCUACGGGAGGCAGCAGUGGGGAAUAUUGCACAAUGGGCGCAAGCCUGACGCAGCGACGCCGCGUGAGGGAUGACGGCCUUCGGGUUGUAAACCUCUGUUAGCAGGGAAGAAGAGAAAUUGACGGUACCUGCAGAGAAAGCGCCGGCUAACUACGUG